GCCCGCUUGGCUUAGUGGUAAAGCGUCGCACUUGUACUACCUCAUUUGAGCGACUGUAAUGCGAAGAUCAAGAGUUCAAUUCUCUUAGUGGGCA